rnacentral:rRNA from 1 species
AGAGUUUGAUCCUGGCUCAGGACGAACGCUGGCGGCGCGCCUAACACAUGCAAGUCGAGCGAGAACCAGGGCUUCGGCCCUGGGGACAGCGGCGAACGGGUGAGUAACACGUGGAUAACCUGCCCUCGGCACCGGAAUAGCCCGGGGAAACCCGGAUUAAUGCCGGAUAGCCCCACAUCCCUGCGGGGAACGUGGGAAAAGGUAGCUUCGGCCUCUGGCCGAGGAUGGGUCCGCGGUGGAUUAGCUUGUUGGCGGGGUAACGGCCCACCAAGGCGACGAUCCAUAGCUGGUCUGAGAGGACGAUCAGCCACACUGGGACUGAGACACGGCCCAGACUCCUACGGGAGGCAGCAGUGGGGAAUCUUGCGCAAUGGGCGAAAGCCUGACGCAGCGACGCCGCGUGCGGGAAGAAGGCCUUCGGGUUGUAAACCGCUUUCAGGAGGGACGAAGCCACUCGGGUUAAUAGCCCAGAGGGUGACGGUACCUCCAGAAGAAGCCCCGGCUAACUACGUGCCAGCAGCCGCGGUAAUACGUAGGGGGCAAGCGUUGUCCGGAUUCAUUGGGCGUAAAGAGCGUGUAGGCGGCCAGGUAGGUCGGUUGUGAAAACUGGAGGCUCAACCUUCAGAGGUCGACCGAAACCAUCUGGCUAGAGUCCGGGAGAGGAGAGUGGAAUUCCUGGUGUAGCGGUGAAAUGCGCAGAUAUCAGGAAGAACACCCGUGGCGAAAGCGGCUCUCUGGAACGGUACUGACGCUGAGACGCGAAAGCGUGGGGAGCGAACAGGAUUAGAUACCCUGGUAGUCCACGCCGUAAACGAUGGGCACUAGGUGUGGGAGGUGUCGACUCCUUCCGUGCCGAAGCUAACGCAUUAAGUGCCCCGCCUGGGGAGUACGGCCGCAAGGCUAAAACUCAAAGGAAUUGACGG